rnacentral:rRNA from 1 species
CUAUGCGCCUUGCCAGCCCGCUCAGGUGUGCCAGCAGCCGCGGUAAUACGGGGGGGCAAGCGUUGUUCGGAAUUACUGGGCGUAAAGGGCUCGUAGGCGGCCAACUAAGUCGGAUGUGAAAUCCCCAGGCUCAACCUGGGAACUGCAUCCGAUACUGGAUGGCUUGAAUUCGGGAGAGGGAUGCAGAAUUCCAGGUGUAGCGGUGAAAUGCGUAGAUAUCUGGAGGAAUACCGGUGGCGAAGGCGGCAUCCUGGACUGACAUUGACGCUGAGGAGCGAAAGCUAGGGGAGCAAACAGG